AGUUGGUGGGGUAACGGCCCACCAAGCCUAAGAUCCGUACGGGCUGUGGGAGCAGGAGCCCGGAGAUGGACCCUGAGACAAGGGUCCAGGCCCUACGGGGCGCAGCAGGCGCGAAACCUCCGCAAUGCGGGAAACCGCGACGGGGUUAGCCGGAGUGCCCGUGCAUUGCACGGGCUGUCGGGGUGCCUAAACAGCACCCCAUAGCAAGGGCCGGGCAAGGCCGGUGGCAGCCGCCGCGGUAAGACCGGCGGCCCGAGUGGCGGCCACUCUUAUUGGGCCUAAAGCGUCCGUAGCCGGCCCAGUAAGUCCCCCGGGAAAUCUGGUCGCUUAACGAUCAGACUUCCGGGGGAUACUGCUGGGCUAGGGACCGGGAGAGGCCGAGGGUAUUCCCGGGGUAGGGGUGAAAUCCUGUAAUCCCGGGAGGACCACCUGUGGCGAAGGCGCUCGGCUGGAACGGGUCCGACGGUGAGGGACGAAGGCCUGGGGAGCGAACCGGAUUAGAUACCCGGGUAGUCCAGGCUGUAAACGAUGCGGGCUAGGUGUCACCGGAGCUACGAGCUCCGGUGGUGCCGGAGGGAAGCCGUUAAGCCCGCCGCCUGGGAAGUACGGCCGCAAGGCUGAAACUUAAAGGAAUUGACGG
rnacentral:rRNA from 1 species